rnacentral:rRNA from 1 species
CUGAGGUACGAAAGUGUGGGGAGCAAACAGGAUUAGAUACCCUGGUAGUCCACACCGUAAACGAUGAAUGCUAGUUGUCUGCGCGCAUGCGUGCAGGUGACGCAGCUAACGCAUUAAGCAUUCCGCCUGGGGAGUACGGUCGCAAGGCUAAAACUCAAAGGAAUUGACGGGGCCCCGCACAAGCGGCGGAGCAUGCGGAUUAAUUCGA